rnacentral:lncRNA from 1 species
CAAAGUUACAAAAUACAUAAAAAAUGGCAGCAGAAAUCUUGGCUAUGAUGUAAAAAUAUAUUAUUUUGUCAUAUUUUCAGAAAAAUAGGGAAAAUAUACAUAUUUCAUAUUACUGGUUCAAUUUUAACAAUUUUUAUAUCAGAUUGGUUUUGUCAUUGCAGUAUAUAAUGCUGGCUGAAAUCACCCAUACUUUUAGAGUUUCUUCUGAUGUCAUCUCUUUCUGAACAACUUGGAAAUGAGACAGACUAGUAAACAUACACAUAUUGCCACCAAAUAUCCAUAUAACAUUUUAUAUCUUUCUGGUGUCCAUAAAACUGUGUAGGACAAUUCACCAUUCUUUC